UGCAGGAUAGCUCAGUUGGUAGAACAUGAGACUCUUAAUCUCAGAGUUGUGGGUUCCCCACCUUUGGCCUGCAU